rnacentral:tRNA from 1 species
CGCCAGGUAGCUAAACAGGGACAAGCGUUAGCCUUUUAAGCUAAAGAUUGGUGGUCCCCACCCACCCCUAGCGA